UACGAAGGGGGCUAGCGUUGUUCGGAAUCACUGGGCGUAAAGCGCACGUAGGCGGAUUGUUAAGUCGGGGGUGAAAUCCUGAGGCUCAACCUCAGAACUGCCUUCGAUACUGGCAAUCUCGAGUCCGGAAGAGGUUGGUGGAACAGCGAGUGUAGAGGUGAAAUUCGUAGAUAUUAGCUAGAACACCAGUGGCGAAGGCGGCCAACUGGCCCGGUACUGACGCUGAGGUGCGAAAGCGUGGGGAGCAAACAGG
rnacentral:rRNA from 1 species